AGAGUUUGAUUCUGGCUCAGAUUGAACGCUGGCGGCAGGCCUAAUACAUGCAAGUCGAACGGUAACAUAGGAAAAGCUUGCUUUCCUGAUGACGAGUGGCGGACGGGUGAGUAAAGUUUGGGAAGCUACCUGAUAGAGGGGGACAACAGUUGGAAACGACUGCUAAUACCGCAUACAGCCUGAGGGUGAAAGCAGCAAUGCGCUAUCAGAUGCGCCCAAAUGGGAUUAGCUAGUAGGUGAGGUAAAGGCUCACCUAGGCGACGAUCUCUAGCUGGUCUGAGAGGAUGAUCAGCCACAUUGGGACUGAGACACGGCCCAGACUCCUACGGGAGGCAGCAGUAGGGAAUAUUGCACAAUGGAGGAAACUCUGAUGCAGCCAUGCCGCGUGUGUGAAGAAGGCCUUCGGGUUGUAAAGCACUUUCGGAGGGGAGGAGAAUGACGUUACCCUCAGAAGAAGCACCGGCUAACUCCGUGCCAGCCGCUGC
rnacentral:rRNA from 1 species